UACAGAGGUCUCAAGCGUUGUUCGGAUUCAUUGGGCGUAAAGGGUGCGUAGGUGGCGCUGUAAGUCAGGUGUGAAAUUUCGGAGCUUAACUCCGAAACUGCAUUUGAUACUGCGGUGCUUGAGGACUGGAGAGGAGACUGGAAUUUACGGUGUAGCAGUGAAAUGCGUAGAGAUCGUAAGGAAGACCAGUGGCGAAGGCGGGUCUCUGGACAGUUCCUGACACUGAGGCACGGAAGGCCAGGGGAGCAAACGGG
rnacentral:rRNA from 1 species